rnacentral:rRNA from 1 species
AUACGUAGGGGGCGAGCGUUGUCCGGAAUGAUUGGGCGUAAAGGGCGCGUAGGCGGCGCGGUAAGUCUGGAGUGAAAGUCCUGCUUUCAAGGUGGGAAUUGCUUUGGAUACUGCCGCGCUUGAGUGCAGGAGAGGUUAUCGGAAUUCCCGGUGUAGCGGUGAAAUGCGUAGAGAUCGGGAGGAACACCAGUGGCGAAGGCGGGUAACUGGACUGCAACUGACGCUGAGGCGCGAAAGUGUGGGGAGCAAACAGGAUUAGAUACCCUGGUAGUCCACACUGUAAACGAUGAAUGCUAGGCGUAAGAGGUAUCGACCCCUUUUGUGCCGGAGUCAACACAAUAAGCAUUCCGCCUGGGGAGUACGGCCGCAAGGUUGAAACUCAAAUGAAUUGACGGGG